GACGAACGCUGGCGGCGUGCUUAACACAUGCAAGUCGAACGGAAAGGCCCUGCUUUUGUGGGGUGCUCGAGUGGCGAACGGGUGAGUAACACGUGAGUAACCUGCCCUUGACUUUGGGAUAACUUCAGGAAACUGGGGCUAAUACCGGAUAGGAGCUCCUGCUGCAUGGUGGGGGUUGGAAAGUUUCGGCGGUUGGGGAUGGACUCGCGGCUUAUCAGCUUGUUGGUGGGGUAGUGGCUUACCAAGGCUUUGACGGGUAGCCGGCCUGAGAGGGUGACCGGCCACAUUGGGACUGAGAUACGGCCCAGACUCCUACGGGAGGCAGCAGUGGGGAAUAUUGCACAAUGGGCGGAAGCCUGAUGCAGCGACGCCGCGUGCGGGGUGACGGCCUUCGGGUUGUAAACCGCUUUCGCCUGUGACGAAGCGUGAGUGACGGUAAUGGGUAAAGAAGCACCGGCUAACUACGUG
rnacentral:rRNA from 1 species